AUUGUAUGAAAUGCCUUCUCCCUAUCGCGCGCCGCGAUAACGCCUUGAAAAUGAAAUAUGUUUUAAUCGCAGCCUGAUUAUCUUCUAGCCCGGAGCAUAUACGACUGGCAGAGGAGGGUGAGCAGCGAAAAGAACCUUUGGAUUCCAAGACCACAGCGAAAAGAAAAGAGCUGAUUUGGCACGACGUUACCGAGCAACUGGACAUAACAAGGGACCGAGCAAAACAGCAGCGGAAAGGCACAAAAGACAAUUAUCGCAGCGUCCGUGCCAAGCCGCGCUCCCUGCCUAGCGGACCGGCUGCAGUAGCCUUGGCGCCGCUUCAAGAGCAGCAGAAGCUGUACCUCUGUACCUUGGGCGCGGGCUCGGAUGCCAAGGCUACCUGCCCGAGUCUCCGGGGGUCGCACUCUGAGUUGACGCAUCUUGACGCCGCAGAAGGUGCCGGAGGGGAAACAGCGUACACUCCAACACCUGAGCGCAGCGGCACGGAAACGCCCAGUGCUGUGGCACCAACAGGGGUGUCUUCGACGCUGGAUCAGCUGAACGCAAGGGAAGAAAUAGCAAAGAAAAGUAAACACGCGGGUUUUUUCACUGAACUAGACCAGAUGCUGGAACGCAUGGGAGAGCGCAAAGCGUGUGAGUUCAAAGCUAGAGUGUACGCGGAGGCCGUGAAGACUGCUUUCAAUUUGUAGCUUCUAGCUGAGUGGGCCAUACCGAAAGCUACAUGUUUUGUCGUGCACUGUUUCAAUUCUGUUCAGCCUGGAAAGUUGACCCAUGAUGUAUUGUGCUUUGUGAAGUUCAUAUACCUACCUAAGUUUAUAGCUUGCGGGAAUACGCGAGAUUGUACAUUGUAUUGUAUUUUAUUAUAUAUUUUCAUCAACCUC